GGGAAAGGGAGGUGAAGGAAGGGAAGGAAGAAGGAGAAGGGGUGCUGCGGUUUGUCCGUCCGUCCCUCUCCCCGCGCUGCAGUGCGGGGCUGGAUCCCCCCGAGGAUCCCGGCCGGCCGGUCGGUGGGUGAGCGGGAAAGAAAAGCUGUCUGUACACUGAUGUUGGGAUCCGAAGGUCAGCUCACUGAGGAUUAAUGCCAAGGAUAGUUCAUGACUAAGAAAAUUCAAUCGGCAAUGUGAUGAGGUGAAGAUCUGCCCUGGUUGAACAAUCCCAGCUCUCUCAACGUCUCAUCCCUUCAUCAUCUUCACGGCCCUUCACUGACUUGCUGCAGCAAGUUCCUGUCUGUGUUCUACUGAAGAACUGGAUCCAGAACCUCUCACGUGUCUGUCUACCAGUGCUGAACUGAAUGGGAAUAAUCACCUCCCUCGACCUGCUGGUGACCCUCCUCCUAAUGCAGCCUGCUGGCAUCAUCUUGAGAAAGGCACUGUGAUAAAGAACAUGUGGCUGGUGAGUGGUGCUGGCAGAUGGACUGGGGCUGCUGCUCUACAGUGAUCAAACAUCUUCCCAACCAGGUGGGCUCAUUUCUCCUCCCUCACAGCCUGGCUGUUCUUGGGGCAAACACCAACAGGACACAGCGCUGUGCUUCCAUCUGGUUGGAAUAGUGAUGUGGCUGCGGGGAGGACCCAGAGAGCACCAAAGCUGGCACCAAGAUGGAGCCUGGGCAGGGAAGAGCUGGGUGGUGGCAGUUCUCUGGCAGAAGCCUGCACACUCUUGCAGGAGUGACCCAGCAAAACACCAUCUUCAUUCUUCUGUACACAGAUUAUUUACCAGUGUGUCCUCUUAGCUGUGAGGGGACGUUUGUAAAAGAUUUAGCCACCUGAAUGGGUCAUGCAAUAAUGUUUCCAGGGAUUUUUUUUUUCUGGUUUUCCUAGUCCACUGAAAAAUUACUUCUGUAUUGGUGGAGAUAACAAGAAGUGCUCACUGAAAUAAAAAUUGCCAGCAUUCAGCAGGGUGGCACCUCUGCUCAGUGCAUGUUGUAAAAUUCCAGCAGGCAAGGAAUGCCACUUGGCUCUUGUUCAGGAACUGGCAGGAAACAACCCCCACUAUGCUAUGAUUCAACACCAAGAGGAAAAAAAAAAAAAAGAAAUCUCUUUCUCUGUAACAGGGAGCAUGGAUGAACACGGUUAUGUUAAUAAAGCUAUGCUGCCCUGUCACAUCUGGAGACCCAGGCUGGGGGGGGGAAAAAAAUCCAAUUAGCUCCAACUGGCCUUACUGUAGUGGCCCUAAAUCAGUCCCUAGAGAGCUGUUGCACCACAUAACUGCAUCCCACAGUGAUUGACUACACGCUCUACAACAUUUGCCACAGAUGGCAGCCACCAGCCAGCAGAGAGGGGUGCCCAUUAGCAGAGAGGCAGAAUUCAGCUAAAAGUGCCUCCCCCCGCCUCAGAAAGGUGGUAAUGGCAUGCAGCAGAGCUGCUUCCUUGCAGAUGCCCCUCCUAUGCAAAAGAGUUUGCUGGUCUAAAUUAAAAGGGGAAAAAAAAUAAUAAAAAAAGAAGAAGAGAGAAAAAAGGGAAGAAAACAGACCCUACAAAAUAUUAUUUCCCCCCCCCCCUUUUUUUAUUUAUGUCACUGUACACCAACCCGGCAAAGUAAGAGCUUAUAACCUUCCCUUAUUCCAGGUGCUAAAGCUUGCUCUGUGCAAAAAAAAAAAAAAAAAACAACCACCACCGUGAGAGCCUGGCUGCAUUCUCUCAGUUAGCAGGUGUUGGAAGCCUGCAGGGAUCUGCAGGUUAAUUAAUACUGACUUACCAGGGUUGGGGAGCUUAUUAGCCUCCACCCUAAAAAUGAGGAAGACAGGAGGAGCCCUCUGGGGGGAAGGCAGGUAAUGUUUGUGGGGAGGGAGGGAGGCUGAGGCAGAGCCAACACUGGGGAAGAGGCUUUAGGUGCGGCUUAUGAGUUAGGUUUUUAUCCCUUUUCUCUCAAUAAAAGCAAAGUUGAGAAUAAAUGUA